rnacentral:rRNA from 1 species
AGUGAACGCUGGCGGUAGGCCUAACACAUGCAAGUCGAACGGCAGCACAGUAAGAGCUUGCUCUUACGGGUGGCGAGUGGCGGACGGGUGAGGAAUACAUCGGAAUCUACUUUUUCGUGGGGGAUAACGUAGGGAAACUUACGCUAAUACCGCAUACGACCUACGGGUGAAAGCAGGGGAUCUUCGGACCUUGCGCGAUUGAAUGAGCCGAUGUCGGAUUAGCUAGUUGGCGGGGUAAAGGCCCACCAAGGCGACGAUCCGUAGCUGGUCUGAGAGGAUGAUCAGCCACACGGGAGCUGAGACACGGUCCAGACUCCUACGGGAGGCAGCAGUGGGGAAUAUUGGACAAUGGGCGCAAGCCUGAUCCAGCCAUACCGCGUGGGUGAAGAAGGCCUUCGGGUUGUAAAGCCCUUUUGUUGGGAGAGAAAAGCAGCAGGUUAAUACCCCGCUGUUCUGACGGUACCCAAAGAAUAAGCACCGGCUAACUUCGUG